rnacentral:rRNA from 1 species
GACGAACGCUGGCGGCGUGCUUAACACAUGCAAGUCGAGCGGUAAGGCCCUUUCGGGGGUACACGAGGCGGCGAACGGGUGAGUAACACGUGGGUGACCUGCCCUCAGCUCUGGGAUAAGCCUGAGAAACCGGGUCUAAAUACUGGAUAUGACUCCAUGACGCAUGUUGUGGGGUGGAAAGCCUUGUGCGGCUGAGGAUGGGCCCGCGGCCUAUCAGCUUGUUGGUGGGGGUGAUGGCCUACCAAGGCGACGACGGGUAGCCGGCCUGAGAGGGCGACCGGCCACACUGGGACUGAGACACGGCCCAGACUCCUACGGGAGGCAGCAGUGGGGAAUCUUGCGCAAUGGGCGAAAGCCUGACGCAGCGACGCCGCGUGAGGGAUGACGG